UCUCAAUGGACGCCGAAAAGGCGUUUGACCGCCUACUCUGGCCUUUUCUCUUUGCGAUUCUACAAAAAUUCUGCUUCCCAAACUCCUUUAUCAAGGCACUUCAAUCCCUCUAUGAUGAACCAGCAGCUACCCUCCUCAUCCCCAAUGCACAUGCACUAGAAUUUACAAUACACAAUGGAAAACAGCAGGGCUGCUUGCUGUCCCCCCUUUAAUUCGCCUUAUCCCUAGAACCUCUUCUCCAGAAAAUAAGCACCCCGACAAUUACAGGGAUCAAGUUUAGAAAGAGCGAAUAUAAAACUGCGGCUUAUGCGGACAACAUUCUCCUCACCAUCACGGACCUAUGCCGCUCCUUACCCCCUGAACUUCAGAUCCUUGACGACUAUGCUAACCUCCCAG